rnacentral:ncRNA from 1 species
UGGUGACAAAAAGUGAUUGAUUCUUCAGAUAGUUUGGCAGCAGGCGCUUGCGACGCUUGACAAUGACUUGAAUCUUUUGAAUUGAUUUAGUUAGCGAAAAAGAUAAAAAGUCGGACAUGUUCCAUUCUCAAUGGGAUCUUUCGCCAACCUAUUUGAACCUUGAAAUUUCGAUUACUAUUUGCUAUUGUUGAUAACCGUACCCUAAACCGCAUCAGGUCUCCAAGGUUAACAGCCUAUGGUUAAGUGGAAUAAAGUAGAUGAGGGAAGUCGGCAAAUUCGAUCUGUAACUUUGGAAAAAGGAUUGGCUCUGGACGUCAGUGAUUUAACUUGUUAAGUCACAAUUAUGACAUAUCCAGAACUGGUGUUGACUAGAGGAAUCUGACUGUUUAAUUAAAACAAAGCAUUGUGUAAAGUUGAAAAACUAUACACGCAAUGUGAUUUCUGCCCAGUGCUCUGAAUGUUAUUGUGAUGAGAUUCGCAUAAGCGCGGGUAAACGGCGGGAGUAACUAUGACUCUCUUAAGGUAGCCAAAUGCCUCGUCGUCUAAUUAAUGACGUGCAUGAAUGGAUCAAUGAGAUUCCUACUGUCCCCAACUACUAUCCAGUGAAACCACAGCCAAGGGAACGGGCUUGGCAAUAUAAGCGGGGAAAGAAGACCCUGUUGAGCUUGACUCUAGUUUGAUAUUGUAAAACUACUUGGAAGAUGUAGCAUACGUGGGAGCAUCUAAUGCGACAGUGAAAUACCACGGCUUCUAAUGUGGCUUUGCUCACUCGGAAUUAGUGGAUCUGCUCUGCAGAAACGCGAAACUAAAGUGUAAACGACAUUCACUGAGGACAUUAUCAAAUGGGGAGUUUGGCUGGGGCGGCACAUCUGCUAAACAUCAACGCAGAUGCCCUAAGGUUAACUCAAAGAGAACAGAAAUCUCUUGUAGACCGAAAGGAGAAAAGUUAGCAUUAUUCGGAUUUGUAUCAUCAAUAAGAAUUGCGAAAGCAUGGCCUAUCGAUCCUUUAAGCCCAGAAAGAUUCUGGCUAGAGGUGACGGAAAAGUUACCACAGGGAUAACUGGCUUGUGGCAGCCAAGCGUUCAUAGCGACGUUGCUUUUUGAUCCUUCGAUGUCGGCUCUUCCUAUCAUUGAGUUGCAGAAGUCUCAAAGUGUCGGAUUGUUCACCCGUUAAUAGGGAACGUGAGCUGGGUUUAGACCGUCGUGAGACAGGUUAGUUUUAUCCUACUUAUACACGCAUCAAAAGAGUUAAUCAACUUAGUACGAGAGGAACCGUUGAUUCAAACCGCUGGUUAAGCGUUUGACUGUAAAGUCAAAGACGC